CCUACGGGAGGCAGCAGUGGGGAAUAUUGGACAAUGGGCGAAAGCCUGAUCCAGCCAUGCCGCGUGUGUGAAGAAGGCCUUCGGGUUGUAAAGCACUUUCAGUGGGGAAGAAAGCCUUGGGGCUAAUACCCUCGAGGAAGGACAUCACCCACAGAAGAAGCACCGGCUACCUCCGUGCCAGCAGCCGCGGUAAUACGGAGGGUGCGAGCGUUAAUCGGAAUUACUGGGCGUAAAGCGCGCGUAGGCGGUCUGAUAAGCCGGUUGUGAAAGCCCCGGGCUCAACCUGGGAACGGCAUCCGGAACUGUCAGGCUAGAGUGCAGGAGAGGAAGGUAGAAUUCCCGGUGUAGCGGUGAAAUGCGUAGAGAUCGGGAGGAAUACCAGUGGCGAAGGCGGCCUUCUGGACUGACACUGACGCUGAGGUGCGAAAGCGUGGGUAGCAAACAGGAUUAGAUACCCGAGUAGUC
rnacentral:rRNA from 1 species